AGCUUUAUCUGCCGUCAGAUUAGUUGAGGCCUUGCGGGUGGCAUGUAAGACUGGUUUAUGAAUAAGAGUUGUCGCACCUCUCUCCGGAGGUGAGGUGUGAUUGUCCAGCAGUUUUGCUGCUACUUUCGCAUUGGCUUGUACCAGUAAUACUAGGUUCGAGGGUCUGAACUUUGUUGUAUUGAAUGUUACACCCAUGUAAUAGUUUUCUUUGCACCUGUUAUCUUUGAUGUCAAGUUAAGUGUACUUCCUGUUCAAAAAAAAUAAAAAGUGUACUCAAGCACUGGCUUAUGUUUAUUGAUUGCAGUGGUGGAUUGUAUUCAGUUACUUUUGGUGUUCCUAUUCAUCAGUGAGAAAAGGAAAAUCCACUUGCUUUUGUCUUUCGAUCACACUCGUAUUGAGGAAGGGGAUUGUUCAUUGGAU
rnacentral:lncRNA from 1 species